GACGAACGCUGGCGGCGUGCUUAACACAUGCAAGUCGAACGGAAAGGCCCUGCUUUUGUGGGGUGCUCGCGUGGCGAACGGGUGAGUAACACGUGAGUAACCUGCCCUUUACUUUGGGAUAACUUCAGGAAACUGGUGCUAAUACCGGAUAGGAGCUCCUGCUGCAUGGUGGGGGUCGGAAAGUUUUGGCGGUUGGGGAUGGACUCGCGGCUUAUCAGCUUGUUGGUGGGGUAGUGGCUUACCAAGGCUUUGGCGGGUAGCCGGCCUGAGAGGGUGACCGGCCACAUUGGGACUGAGGUACGGCCCAGACGCCUACGGGAGGCAGCAGUGGGGAAUAGUGCACAGUGGGCGGGAGCCUGAUGCAGCAACGCCGCGUGCGGGAUGACGGCCUUCGGGUUGUAAACCGCGUUCGCCUGUGACGAAGCGUGAGGGACGUUGAUGGGUAAAGAAGCACCGGCUAACUACGUG
rnacentral:rRNA from 1 species